rnacentral:rRNA from 1 species
UACGAAGGGGGCUAGCGUUGCUCGGAAUCACUGGGCGUAAAGGGUGCGUAGGCGGGUUUUUAAGUCAGGGUGAAAUCCUGGAGCUCAACUCCAGAACUGCCUUUGAUACUGGAGAGCUUGAGUCCGGAAGAGGUGAGUGGAACUCCGAGUGUAGAGGUGAAAUUCGUGAGAUAUUCGGAAGGAACACCAGUGGCGAAGGCGGCUCACUGGUCCGGUACUGACGCUGAGGUGCGAAAGCGUGGGAGCAAACCGG